rnacentral:rRNA from 1 species
GUGCCAAGCAGCCGCGGUAAUUCCAGCUCCAAUAGCGUAUAUUAAAGUGNUUGCCGUUAAAAAGCUCGUAGUCGAACUUCGGCGCCUGAUGGCCGGUCCGCCUUCUUGGUGUGUACUUGCUCAUCGGGCGCUUACCUCCUGGUGAACUCUGAUGUCCUUUACUGGGUGUCAGAGCAAACCAGGACGUUUACUUUGAAAAAAUUAGAGUGUUCAAAGCAGGCCUACGCCCGAAUACAUUAGCAUGGAAUAAUAGAAUAGGACGCGCGUUCCCAUUUUGUUGGUUUCUGAGAUCGCCGUAAUAAUUAAUAGGGAUAGUUGGGGGCAUUUGUAUUCCGUCGUCAGAGGUGAAAUUCUUGGAUUGCCGGAAGACAAACUACUGCGAAAGCAUUUGCCAAGGAUGUUUUCAUUGAUCAAGAACGAAGGAAGGGGGAUCGAAAACGAUCAGAUACCGUUGUAGUCUCUUCUGUAAACUAUGCCAAUUGGGGAUUAGCACAGGAUUUUCAAUGACUGUGUUAGCACCCGAAGAGAAAUCUUUAAAUGAGGUUCGGGGGGGAGUAUGGUCGCAAGGCUGAAACUUAAAGGAAUUGACGGAAGGGCACCACCAGGUGUGGAGCCUGCGGCUUAAUUUGACUCAACACGGGGAAACUCACCAGGUCCAGACACAAUAAGGAUUGACAGAUUGAUAGCUCUUUCUUGAUCUUGUGGUUGGUGGUGCAUGGCCGUUCUUAGUUGGUGGAGUGAUUUGUCUGGUUAAUUCCGAUAACGAACGAGACCUUAACCUGCUAAAUAGACCAGUCGACUUUGGUUGACUGCUGUCUUCUUAGAGGGACUAUCAGCGUUUAGCUGAUGGAAGUUUGAGGCAAUAACAGGUCUGUGAUGCCC